UAAUAAGCUCGAUAUGUGGUUGAGCUCUGUCAGUCCAUGAUCAAUAGGGUUGAAUUGACUGAUCUGGCUAGCUAAGUAGGCGUCCCCAUCUUCCCUUACCACUCAGCGUGUGUCACUCCUAAAGCUGCAUGCUGUGUUGAAGAGCACAACUGUCCCCAGUAAAGGAGAUUGUUCUUUAGUCAAGGAUAUAUGAGUAGCUUCACUCCCUGGCUAGAACCUCUAAAUAUGCUCUCAACUAAUAAACUGAACAUGGUGGGUCUCAACUGCAGUCCUAGCUACUUAGGAAGAGU
ensembl:misc_RNA 7SK 7SK RNA